AUCUUUUUAGUAUAAUGUAUAUUUGGCUUCCAACCAAAAGGUCUAAAAUUUUUAGAAAAGAUA
rnacentral:tRNA from 1 species